rnacentral:rRNA from 1 species
CUUAUUUUCAGUGGCGAGCUUAACCGAAUAGGGGAGGCGUAGCGAAAGCGAGUCUUAAUAGGGCGUCUAGUCGCUGGGAAUAGACCCGAAACCGGGCGAUCUAUCCAUGGGCAGGUUGAAGGUUGGGUAACACUAACUGGAGGACCGAACCGACUACCGUUGAAAAGUUAGCGGAUGACCUGUGGAUCGGAGUGAAAGGCUAAUCAAGCUCGGAGAUAGCUGGUUCUCCUCGAAAGCUAUUUAGGUAGCGCCUCAUGUAUCACUGUAGGGGGUAGAGCACUGUUUCGGCUAGGGGGUCAUCCCGACUUACCAAACCGAUGCAAACUCCGAAUACCUACAAGUGCCGAGCAUGGGAGACACACGGCGGGUGCUAACGUCCGUCGUGAAAAGGGAAACAACCCAGACCGUCAGCUAAGGUCCCAAAGUUAUGGUUAAGUGGGAAACGAUGUGGGAAGGCUUAGACAGCUAGGAGGUUGGCUUAGAA